rnacentral:lncRNA from 1 species
GCAAAACGACGUCGUUUUUCAGGGGCUAUAUAAGCCAAAUCUUAGCCCAAAAAUCAUUUUAACAUUCGGUUUUAAAAAAAAUAUAAACGAAAUCCUCUGAAAGAGGAUUCGAGGGCUGAUUCCGGUGCUGUUGAACCUCCGUUCAGGAGUUUUCUCACGCGCUCACUCGCCACCACGCACGGUGGUCGGAGGGUCAAAACCUUCCCGCUUUUCAGCGAAAGUCAGGUAAUCUCUUUUCCUUUUCACUAUUUGUAAUAUAUGUUAAAAUAUUCAGCUUUGUAUUAGAUUGGCUACUGGUAUUGUGAGUCGAUCUUACUGUACUCUGUUGAAUUUGUUUGUAUAUUUCUCUCUUCGUAAAUCGUGUGUAUAUUAUUGUCUUUGUAAAAAUCGGGAUCCCUUUUACAAUGAAGGUAUUCGGGCUUUAUAGCCACUGUUUACAGUGUAUUUACAUCUUUAUUUUAUUUCCUUGCCAUAUUUGUUGGUUCUGCUCCCUCUUAUUUCCUUUUACAGGCGAUCGAAGAGAAGAAAGGGCACUGAUCUCGGCGUCGAUUUGCGUCUCAACAAGAUACGGGGCCUGGAAUCACGGCACCGAUGAAGGGUAGCUGAAAUGACGCAAGGUGAAACGGCGUGAUUGAAGAAAUGUUGAUAGGGGCAUGAUCGAUGGUGGCCUUGAUUUGGAAGCUGGAUAGAUGCUCCCUGAAUCUUCUAGAAGCAGUGACGGCUCAAGGAGGAAAAGGCAGAAACCGUAGAGUUUCCUGCCUUAAUGUAAUAGGUUGGGCCAAUUGGGCCACUUUAGUUCUGGGCUAGGCAGGGUGUAAUGGGUACCGGGUAAUUUAGCUGGGUUUUGGGUUUGGAUUUAGGCUAGUUGGGUUUUAACUUUUGGGCUGUAAAAGGAUUGUUUAAUAAAUAAACAUUUAUUUUUUUUUGUUUUCAAUUUUAAAGCCUGAGCAAUUUUUGGUUUUUACAGAGCAUUUAAUAAUUUGUACCUAU